UACACUUCUACUUAAGAUUAGUUUUUUGUUUCUCCUUCAAAAUCUCCUCUAAGCUACCACGACCUGGUGAUCAGAAACAAAGGUUCGGGUAUUCACGAACAAAGCUACAAGAGCUUUUCAUAGCAACAGUCUUUGGUGUUUGAAGACAAAAACUUCAAGCAAAGAAAUUCGAUUGGUGAAGUUUGCUGCCCUUGGAUUCGUAAGAAGGUGAAAGCUGGAAAUGGCGAGUUCUAUGCUAGAGAACAGUAUUCAAUAAGCGAAGGAUUUGAUGGAGUCUCGCCAGUUCAUUGGAGCUCUAAAGUUCCUCAAGGAGCUAGAAUCUGAAUAUCCAUCCUCUGCACUAGUCUUGGUACUCAAGGCUCUUGUGUACGCAACAUUUCUAUUUGCUUAGAAGCUAAGGAGAAAAUUUUCAUUGGUAAAUCGAUUCUUCCCAAUGUAUUAAACAUUUUCCAGACCAUUUGCCAACUUCUGGAACGCAACGACUUAGCAAUCACUUUCUACAAAUAUGCUUGUGUGGAAGUUCCCCAUGAUUUGGACUUGAUGAUGGGGCUCUUUGUUUGUAAAUCAACUUAUGAUCUGCCUAAAAAUGUACAAGCUUUCUCGAGAAGACAAGUUUCUGAUGUGGGCUGUUUUUAGCAUUCAACUACAGGUGGUUUCUCACUUGGUCAAGAAGCAUGCGACCACCCAUAACUUGGAUGAACCAGAAGCCCUUUUAGUAUACGUUUCUGUAGCGCAAACAGGGUAAGUACGAUCAUGCUCGUGAAGUCCUAUCCAUGUUGGGUACGACACUUCUAAUAUGUGAAGUUGAUAGGCUACAUA